GCUCAUGCAAUUACUGCAAGCUGAGCCCUCAGCAUACAGUUUAGUGUGCUUGCAGUAGCAGAGAUAGUUGUGAGCUUCUUAUUUUUCUCUUCCUUUGUGUUCCUGUGGCAGUAAGGUGUCCUUGUUUUAAAGAAGCAAAUUGCUGAGCUGUGAUCUUCAUUGUCACAAAGGGAGUUGAACCUAGCAGUCUGGAGAGCAGAAGCACAAUUUGUAGAGAAUGAGAGAAAAGGGGAGCAGUACGUGCUGCCAGACCCCAGGAAGGAAUUGAGGGGCUGCACCAUCCAGGCUAAUGGAAACCAUACUCAGGCAACAAGCUUGUCAACACAAUGAGCAGGGAGGAAAGCAUUUUUGAUUCAUAUCCCCGCCACCUAUAUUUAGAAUCCUUUGGGAUUCCCAGUAAAAAACAAACAAAAACAACAACAAAAAAAAAAACAACCCUCCGAAACUACCCUGCUGCAAAGAAUGUUCAAAACCAAGUUGCUUAAUUCAACCCUGUUGCCUGAAAAUAAUUAUUUCACUUGAAUAAACAGAAAACAGAA